rnacentral:rRNA from 1 species
AUGAAGGCCCGCCUCCAACUACAAGGAGUGCGCGCCGCCGCGCCGGAUCCUUCUGUCUCCCGCGCCCGUCCAUCGUCACCCGGCUCCGGCGAGCUCCUGCGUGGGUCGCCGCACCGCCCCACUUUUCUCCCUUCUUCUCAACCUCACCACCCAGUCUCUUCUCUGCCAUGGAUCCGCCCGGGAAGCCGCGCUCCGGCCUUCCUCGCCCCCCGCGUCGCCGCCCACCUCCGGAUCCGCCUCCAAGCCCCCGCCGUGCACGGAUCCGCCCCCUGCAAGCUCCAGUCGCGCCGCCCAUGUAAAAAGGACCGCGUUUUGAAUAUACCAAAACAUAGGGUCCUUUGUGCAAAAUUAAAGCAUUUUUCCAGAUCCACUUAA